GUUAUGGAGCGAUCGAGUGGAGUCUGAAGACGUGCUAGAGUGCAUGCUCCCUCCCUUAGACUUUGCAGCGGCUGAUGGCUCUAUCGAUGGGUGCAUAGAGACGUCGGCUACUUUGAUGACUUCGGUCGAGGGGGGAGAGGAUCGUGGGCAGGUGGCCCCUCAUUCCCCCUCUCCUUCCGAUGUCUUGCCACAGAUGAGGACUACGGUGGAGGUGUCUGUGUUGCCGAUCGGUGACAUGGCCGUUUUGGGAGGGGGGGCCGGGCAGGAGGCCUUGGUUCCCUCCUCUCCUGCGGUGGUAGGGCGAGGGAGGCGGCAGGAGGCCUCGACUCCAUCCUCUCCUACGGUGGUCGGGGCGGCCGUGCCUGCGGCGGCCAUGGGUCCCGAGGAUUGGCAGUCACCUGCUCAGCUAUAGGGGAUGCUCCAGCUGACGCCGACCAGGGUGGUCGCAUCACCCGCAUGCUUGAAGGCAGGGUCGGGUGGGGAGCAGGGGCAAGCGGCCCUCACACUCACUUCCCCUCGCUCGCCUUUGGGCGGGCCGACGACUGUGCUGGCCGCGUCAGGUGGGGAGCGUGGGCAGGUGGCCCAGUCUCUUCCCCCGCGCUCACCGGGGUCGGUGCCUGCAGUUCUUGGCGCCUCUCUGGGUGAUGCAACCUGGCCGCAUGUUGGGGGUGGCGCUGGAGGCCUUACCCCUAACGGGCCCACUCGGGAGGUGGUCGUCGCUUUCGGAGGCAUUCCAGAUCAUGUUUCUGAGGGGCGGCGGAUGAGCUUCCGUUUCCAGGACCAGCCGGAUGUUGAUGACAUGCAGCUGAGGUGCGCCAAGCGGGUGGCCAAGCUUCAUGACAUUGAGGUCACUAUUGGUAUGUCGGUCAACACUUCCAAUUCCAUUCUGCAUUUUUCUAACGAUGAGAUUAUUCAUAAUGCAAAUCAGUUAGGAGUUUCACUAGUUUGCUUUGGUUAUGAAACUAGUCCUACUAUGAUGGGCAUCCAAGAGGGAUAUAAUAAAAACUUUCAUAUAAGUGCAUUGAAUACUAAGAGAAGUUUGAUACUUGAUGAUUGUUUUGAGAUAUGGAGAUAGUGAUAUCAAAGUUGUGAUAGUUGAGUAGUUGUGAAUUUGAGGAAUACUUGUUUUGAAGUUUGCAAGUCCCGUAGCAUGCACACAUGGUAAAUGUUGUGUAACAAAUUUGAAACAUGAGGUGUUAUUUUAUUAUCUUCCUUAUGAGUGGCGGUCGGGGACGAGCGAUGGUCUUUUCCUACCAAUCUAUCCCCCUAGGAGCAUGCGCGUAAUACUUGUUUUUUGAUGACUUGUAGAUUUUUGCAAUAAGUAUGUGAGUUCCUUAUGACUAAUGUUGAGUCCAUGGAUUAUACACACUCUUACCCUUCGAUCAUUGCUAGCCUCUUCGGUACCGUGCAUUGCCCUUUCUCACAUUGAGAGUUGGUGCAAACUUCGCCGGUGCAUCCAAACCCCAUGAUAUGAUACGCUCUAUCACACAUAAACCUCCUUAUAUCUUCCUCAAAACAGCCACCAUACCUACCUAUUAUGGCAUUUCCAUAGCCAUUCCGAGAUAUAUUGCCAUGCAACUUUCCACCGUUCCGUUUAUUAUGACACGCAUCAUCAUUGUCAUAUUGCUUUGCAUGAUCAUGUAGUUGACAUCGUAUUUGUGGCAAAGCCAUCAUGCAUAAUUUAUCAUACAUGUCACUCUUGAUUCAUUGCCCAUCCCGGUACACCGCCAGAGGCAUUCAUAUAGAGUCAUACUUUGUUCUAGUAUCGAGUUGUAAUUUUUGAGUUGUAAAUAAAUAGAAGUGUGAUGAUCAUCAUUAAUAGAGCAUUGUCCCCCAAAAAAGAAGAAAGGCCAAAAAAAGAGAAAGGCCAAAUAAAAAAAGAAAGGCCAAAUAAAAAAAGAAAGGCCAAAUAAAAAAUAAAAGGGACAAUGCUACUAUCCUUUUUCCACACUUGUGCUUCAAAGUAGCACCAUGAUCUUCAUGAUAGAGAGUCUCUUGUUUUGUCACUUUCAUAUACUAGUGGGAAAUUUUCAUUAUAGAACUUGGCUUGUAUAUUCCAACAAUGGGCCUCCUCAAGUGCCCUAGGUCUUCGUGAGCAAGCAAGUUGGAUGCACACCCACUUAGUUUCUUUUGUUGAGCUUUCAUACAUUUAUACCUCUAGUGCAUACGUUGCAUGGCAAUCCCUACUCCUUGCAUUGACAUCAAUUGAUGGGCAUAUCCAUAGCCCAUUGAUUAGCCGUGUCGAUGUGAGACUUUAUCCUUUUUGUCUUCUCCACAUAACCCCCUCAUUAUAUUCUAUUCCACCCAUAGUGCUAUAUCCAUGGCUCACGCUCAUGUAUUGCGUGAAAGUUGAAAAAAGUUUGAGAUUACUAAAGUAUGAAACAAUUGCUUGGCUUGUCAUCGGGGUUGUGCAUGAUGAGAGCGUUCUUGUGUGAUGAAAAUGGAGCAUGACCAAACUAUAUGAUUUUGUAGGGAUGAACUUUCUUUGGCCAUGUUAUUUUGAGAAGACAUGAUUGCUUAGUUUGUAUGCUUGAAGUAAUAUUAUUUUUAUGUCAAUAUUAAACUUUUGUCUUGAAUCUUAUGGAUCUGAACAUUCAUGCCAAAAUGAAGAGAAUUACUUAGAGAAAUAUGUUAGGUAGCAUUCCACAUCAAAAAUUCUGUUUUUAUCAUUUACCUACUCGAGGACGAGCAGGAAUUAAGCUUGGGGAUGCUGAUAUGUCUCCAACGUAUCUAUAAUUUUUGAUUGUUCCAUGCUAUUAUAUUAUCUGUUUUGGAUGUUUAUGGGCUUUAUUAUGCACUUUUAAAUUAUUUUUGGGACUAACCUAUUAACCCAGAGCCGAGUGCCAGUUUAUGUUUUUUUCCUUGUUUUAGAGUAUCGCAGAAAAGGAAAAUCAAACGGAGUCCAAUUGACCUGAAACUUCACGGAACUUAUUUUUGGACCAGAAGAAGCCCACGGAGUAUCGGAGUUGGACCAGGAGAGUCCCAGGCUGCCCAUGAGGGUGGGGGCGCGCCCACCCCCCUGGGCGCGCCCCCUGCCUUGUGGAUACCCCGGAGGUCCACCGACGUACUUCUUCCUUCCAUAUAUACCCAUAUACCCUAAAAACUUCGAGGAACACAAUAGACCGGGAGUUCCGCCGCCAGAAGCCUCUGUAGCCACCAAAAACCAAUCUAGACCCGUUCCGGCACCCUGCCAGAGGGGGCAAUCCCUCUCAAGUGGCCAUCUUCAUCAUCCCGGUGCUCUCCAUGAUGAGGAUGGAGUAGUUCUCCCUCGGGGCUGAGGGUAUGUACCAGUAGCUACGUGUUUGAUCUCUCUCUCUCUCUUGUGUUCUUGAGGUGAUACGAUCUUGAUGUAUCGUGAGCUUUGCUAUUAUAGUUGGAUCUUAUGAUGUUUCUCCC
rnacentral:rRNA from 1 species